UCUGGUGUAAUCGAUGACGAGGAUGAGGGCAGGGGUGGAGGAUUAGGCAAAUGUUCCCCCUCUGUCUCCAACAGGCUCUGGAGCCCGAGCUCACAGAGGAAUGCAUCCUUGCGAUACUCGGAGUGCUGCACCUCCAGACUGUGCUUCCUCAGCGGGCCGCCCAGCCCUCCCGUAGAACUGGACUGGGUCAGAGGAGAGCCCAGCUUCUCCGCUGACUGCACUCGUUUGAGGAGAGGCGAUCGAGGGGGCUCGGCACUCUUGGGCCUGGGACGGACCACUGGCGGCGACGAGUGGAGCUUGACAGGGAAAGACUGGGUUGUGUUGGAGCUCCCUACAGUGUGGCCCGGCAAGGGUGGAGGAGAAGACUGCGUAGGCGAAGAGCGAUGGAUGGUGAUGGGGGAGCGCAGCGCACUGACCGCGGGGCAGAAGUCUCUGCUGGGCGAAGAGUCUCGGGAUGAGGGGUUGGAUGAGAAAGAGUGUGGAGACAUGGGGCUGGCCAGCGGAGAGAAGCCACCGUGCUGCUCCACUAGUUGCAGAAAGUAGGGUCUGGAGUUGCGUUUGUCACUAUCACCGGACAAAUGUUGAUGGCGCGCCCUGCGGAGGACCAAGUCAUUGGUGGCCCGGGAACCCAGCGGGUCAUACAGAGGGGUUAUCACAUCACGGCUGGCUGCUGCUGCAGGACCUGGGGAUAAUGUGGUGAUUGCCGCGACUGGUCCUAUGCUCCAGAAGACUCGGUGAGGGGGUGCUGGUCCCAUCCAGCGAGGUUCCACGGACCUUGAAGGGAGCCUGGCGGGACGGGAAGUCUGGCUCGCCCUCCAGGGGUGAGGCAAAACGAUGGGUAUCCAUCAGCGCUGAGAAGCGUCGCCGAGCACCAAGGGGAGGGCUCGAGUCCCCUUCCAUGUAGAGGGACUCCGAACAAGACAGGCGCUUCCUGCAGGAGGACGACAUGGGAGCAUUAACAUAAUGUAAUGAAAACUGGGUCCUCUCUAAGAGAAUCGAUUAUCCAACAAUGUCGAAAGUCUUUCUGCCCUGAGCUAAGCUCUAACAUCAGCAUGUCCAAGUUACAGGCCAUCUUAGACAAUGUCUCCCACCCACUCCAUGACAUGCUGGCUAGGCACAGGAGUGCGUUUAGUUUGAGACUUAUUCCACAGAGAUGCACCACAGAGCGCCACAGGAGGUCAUUCCUGCCUGUGCUCAUCAGACUUUACAGCUCGUCCCUCAGAGGGUCAGACAAUAGCCCUGGAAUAAGACCAUAAUUUGUCACAAUUUAUCUACACCUUUUUAUUUUCAUUACUUGUAAAUAUUUGCGUGGCAAUAACCAUCUCAAUAUACAUUUCAUGUUUCUAUUCAUUAAAAUUUUAGGUCUGUGUUUAUUUCUAUUCUUGGUUAGAGCAACUGUAACAAAACCCAAUUUCCCCCAGGAUCAAUAAAAUACUAAUCCUUACAUGUUGACGCUUAGCAGAAAUAAUAAUUACCAUGUGCCCCAUCUUAUCACGUCUGUCUGUAUGAUUUGCCAGUUAGCACAAAACACAAUCCAUCCGAUAGCUGCUGUGCACUUUGUCAUCUCCUGAGCCACGACAACAGGAGAAUCGUGUGUCAUGGAAAUACAGUUAUUUUGUUCAAAACUGAGCAGUCGCUAAUAAAAACGAAUCAUACCUGGAGAGAUGAUACUGAUUAUCUCUUCUAUUGUUGAUAUGGAAGAAGGGAACAUCCAAUAUGAAAUGUAAUUAUGAGCCAAUUUAUUCCAAUCUAUUAUGAAUUUAUGAACAAAUUAUUUUUCUAUAUAUACGAAUAUAGAGGGAUUGACAUCAGCGUCCUAAAGGCUGAGUCGUAAGAAAUAAUCUGA